rnacentral:rRNA from 1 species
AGGACGAACGCUGGCGGCGCGCUUCAAGCAUGCAAGUCGAACGAGAUACCCGGGCUUGCCCGGGUGGAGAGUGGCGAACGGGUGAGUAACACGUGAGGAACCUGCCCCGAAGACCGGGAUAACGCCGGGAAACUGGUGCUAAUACCGGAUGCCCUCGCCGGAUCGCAUGGUCUGGCGAAGAAAUGGAUUCCGCUUCGGGAUGGCCUCGCGGCCUAUCAGCUUGUUGGUGGGUAACGGCCUACCAAGGCUUCGACGGGUAGCUGGUCUGAGAGGAUGUCCAGCCACACUGGGACUGAGACACGGCCCAGACUCCUACGGGAGGCAGCAGUGGGGAAUCUUGCGCAAUGGGCGAAAGCCUGACGCAGCAACGCCGCGUGGAGGACGAAGGCUUUCUGAGUUGUAAACUCCUUUCAGCAGGGACGAUAGUGACGGUACCUGCAGAAGAAGCACCGGCCAACUACGUGCCAGCAGCCGC